rnacentral:rRNA from 1 species
UCGGCCUAACACAUGCAAGUCGAACGAACCCUUCGGGGUUAGUGGCGCACGGGUGCGUAACGCGUGGGAAUCUGCCCUUUGCUUCGGAAUAACAGUUAGAAAUGACUGCUAAUACCGGAUGAUGUCUUCGGACCAAAGAUUUAUCGGCAAGGGAUGAGCCCGCGUAGGAUUAGGUAGUUGGUGGGGUAAAGGCCUACCAAGCCGACGAUCCUUAGCUGGUCUGAGAGGAUGAUCAGCCACACUGGGACUGAGACACGGCCCAGACUCCUACGGGAGGCAGCAGUGGGGAAUAUUAAGGGAUGGGCGCAAGCCUGAUCCAGCAAUGCCGCGUGAUAAAGGAAGGCCUUCGGGUCGUAAAGCUCUUUUACCAGGGA